UUCCAGGAUUUCUAUGUAUCCAACUUUUGUAUUUUUAGGAAAAUAGAGUUUCAUGUUCUGUGUACUUUAAAAGUUGUUUUUGGAGUUGCACAGGAAUACCACACAUGCAUAGAGACUUCCGUUGUAAUUUCAGUUUGGUUCUUAUGCCGAACCCUCAAUUCUGCAGGCUUUCAGUGGGAUCUCUCUAAGAUAAGCUCUACUCCGCAUCAUCGAGGGAUCCAUUCACAAUUGGGACUGUCAAGUGCCAACUCCAGCAAGUUAGCUCGGCUCUCAGUUCUCGGUACUCUCCUAUGACUUGUUUGGUCCAAGUUAGUUAUCGGCACAAUGUACGGGACACUUGUGAUCCAAGGACAUAUUAAUGAACUACUAUACAUUUUCAAUGUUUUUCCCAUCACAAAUAUUUUCAAGGGUGCUGAGGAUGACCAUGGCCAUCUAUACACUUCUCAAAUCCCAAGUAAUUCCACUGUGCUAAGGAUAUAUGUUAGAUUCAGUAGUAGGCACAUAUUAUUUUAUAUAUUGUAAUUCUUAGCAUGUCAGGCCAAUUACUUUUCACGUAUUUUACCCACUCAAUAAUAUUAUCUUGUGCAAAUUUUCGACCUUUGUUGCAAUGCACGGGCAUUUAAUUAUAAAACUUAGGUCAUUUGCUAGAUCUUGCUUCCAUUUAGAGCUCUUGGUAUUGAGAAUUCAGCUCGGGUUUUGAUGUGCUUUUGAUAUAAACUUCAAUUUUCAUAUGAUGCGAAGAGGAAGCGCCCGCACUAUCAUGAAUUUUUUGCGUGCUUGCUACAAGGCCACUCAAUGCAAUACCAUCCCAUGUGAUCUCCAUGCUGCAUAGUUGUCAACAUAGUUACCUCUAUGGCGAGGAGUGGGCAUAACCAUUUUGGGUGUUACUCUAAAUGUUUUCUUCAGUGCACACUAUUUAUUUGACAGAAUGCCCCUGAGUCCAACAAGAAGACCAUUUAUAUUCUGUGGUUAAUAAUGAAGGGUAUUAUGUACUUUGCUGCUACAAUUUUUGCAAACUCCAUAUUCCCUUGGCCUGGUUAUUUUUCUCUGCAUAAAUCCUUCAUGCUGGUCUCUGCAUAACUCCUUUAUGAUACAAUAUGUUUUGCCUUAAUGACAGAAAAAUGUUUUUUCUCUUGGUUUAAACUGACUUCUUGGUUGCGCAAAAUGGACAGAUAUGAUCCAGCACAAUUGAUUUCUAGAUUUUAGUCUGCACAUAGAACACUUGUAGACAGUUGUACUACAAGAACUUGAAGAAAGGCAAGCACAUUCAUAUUUAUUAGUUCUGCCUAUAUGGUUACUUUGCUACAUUGAAUUCAAUCAAAUUUAUCAGUAUCAAACAGUACUGCUGUUUUUCGGUUGUCAUGUAUUUGAUGAAUUGCUCCACCUGAAGUACCUUCUGCCGGCUGUAACAUGAAAGUUCCUUAAUUUUGAUCUUCAGCUAGAGAAUGGAUAAUUAAGCCACCGGUUUGGAGGGGUGACACAUCUUAAAGGAUGACAGAAGAGGUUCAAAACAAUUAGAGAUAAGUUGACGAUGACAGAAGAGGUUCAAAACAAUCAGAGAUAAGGAUAAUCAUUAUCCAGUGAUGUGCAAGUACUGUCAAAUUGGCUAUGAACUGGAGGUGAACAGAGUUGUGGUUGCAUAAAGAAAAGAGCAUCCCUGCCUGGAGAUCAUUGGAGGAGCACCUGGCUGUUUCCUCGACUUGGUAGAUGAGGUACUAAUUCAAAACUGAGUUAGGGCUAAACUGUGGGAGAUACUCCUUCUGUUUUUUUUAUACUUGAUGCUCCCGACCGGUUUGAGAAAAUUAAGGUAUCGAUCGUUUUACUGUAUUGCCCUCAUUCUUCUACCCAAUUCACAUGUUCCCCGCUCCGUCAUGCUUUCCUCGCUUCUCCUGUCACACCGUGCACCACCGCCGCCAUCCACGCACCCCGUGCGCCGCCCGCCGCCUCUGCCUUCAUCCACACACCGCCGUGCGGGCUCACACCCAUUGUGUAGGGGUUCCUGUGGGAGGGCGCCAAGGACGCUGGUGGCAGCGACCAGGGUGAUGAGGCUGGUGGAUGCGUACCUGACGAAGUAGCAACCAGAGGAAUUUGUUCAUGACAACCCUACAAUCUGAGGCUACGCAAGGAGGGUUGGAUGUUCAAGAACCAGGAGGGCAGAGGAGUAUGCAGAUGGAACCAAGAGAUCCUGCGGCUUCAACUAGCUCAUCCGUAAUGAAGUCGUCAUUGCUAAAACGGAAACCCUCGGGUGCAAAUGUGUUAAAACCCCCAACAACGAAAAUGAAGUCCCCUUGUGCAAAUAUGCCAAUUUUUAGAUCUCCACUGAGCAAGAUGUUGCUAUCACCAAGGAUGCAUCUAUCUCCAGUGCUGAGGUCUCCUUCUAUGAGAUGUGGGAUCAUUGUCGUCAUCUGUAAGAUCUUUAUCUCCGGUGGUGGAAAGAAUAGUGACCUCUCAUGAUUUUGUCCAAGUUCUUGCUAAUAUAAUUUGUGGAGGUCGAAGAGUACUAGGAGAUACUGAUUUCAAUGCGCCAUCAAGUUUCGAAGGUUGAAGGGCAAUUGAUGAUAUUGAUUUGAAUGUGGAACCAACAAAAGAGUUGAUGAUAGGUUUGAAUCAUGAUUUUGGGGUUCCAGUUGUUAAUAAAAAAUGCUCCAAAUGCUCAAGAGAAUGCACAUAGGAAUGAAGUGUCAAAUGAUAAACGAAGAGCGAUAUUUGAGGCUUUACUAGCAAGAGCCAACAAUGGUAACUUGAAGGGCCAGGAGACAAGGGAAGUUUAUGUAGCAUUUUCGGUACCCAUCUGGACAAUACAACAUAUUUGGAAAUAAGGUAAAAAAGUUGUCUA